UUUAACCUCUAAUUUUUCACAGGGAUUUCUCUAAACCUAGAAGUUGCAGAAGACUGACUGGUAGAAGGCUAGAAUUCCUCUAUAUCAGCAAAAUCCCAGUUUUGAACAACAAGUGAACUUCAUGAGUUUUAUUAUAGAUGAGGAACCUGAGUCUGAGAGAGAUUCAGUGAAUUGCCUGUGGACACAAAGAUAAUAAGUGUUAGAGGUAAGACUGGAACCCAAGUCUUCUUGAUUCCCUGUCUAGAAAUCUAUCCAAUGACUUGGAUUUUAAAAAAUGUUAUUAAAUAAUUUGUUUGUGG
rnacentral:lncRNA from 1 species